AUAGGGGAGCCGGAGGGAAACCGAGUCUUAAUUGGGCGUUAAGUUGCAGGGUAUAGACCCGAAACCCGGUGAUCUAGCCAUGGGCAGGUUGAAGGUUGGGUAACACUAACUGGAGGACCGAACCGACUAAUGUUGAAAAAUUAGCGGAUGACCUGUGGCUGGGGGUGAAAGGCCAAUCAAACCGGGAGAUAGCUGGUUCUCCCCGAAAGCUAUUUAGGUAGCGCCUCGUGAACUCAUCUCCGGGGGUAGAGCACUGUUUCGGCUAGGGGGCCAUCCCGGCUUACCAGCCCGAUGCAAACUGCGAAUACCGGAGAAUGUUAUCACGGGAGACACACGGCGGGUGCUAACGUCCGUCGUGAAGAGGGAAACAACCCAGACCGCCAGCUAAGGUCCCAAAGUCAUGGUUAAGUGGGAAACGAUGUGGGAAGGCCCAGACAGCCAGGAUGUUGGCUUAGAAGCAGCCAUCAUUUAAAGAAAGCGUAAUAGCUCACUGGUCGAGUCGGCCUGCGCGGAAGAUGUAACGGGGCUAAACCAUGCACCGAAGCUGCGGCAGCGAACGUAUCACCCAAGACAACUUUACGGAGUUGACGAUUGACGGAGCGAAGCGACGUCAAAGCGUUCAUUAAAGUCGAGUUGGCUUAGGGAUACGUUCGUUGGGUAGGGGAGCGUUCUGUAAGCCUGUGAAGGUGGCCUGUGAGGGUUGCUGGAGGUAUCAGAAGUGCGAAUGCUGACAUAAGUAACGAUAAAGCGGGUGAAAAGCCCGCUCGCCGGAAGACCAAGGGUUCCUGUCCAACGUUAAUCGGGGCAGGGUGAGUCGACCCCUAAGGCGAGGCCGAAAGGCGUAGUCGAUGGGAAACGGGUUAAUAUUCCCGUACUUGGUGUUACUGCGAAGGGGGGACGGAGAAGGCUAUGUUGGCCGGGCGACGGUUGUCCCGGUUUAAGCGUGUAGGCUGGUUUUCCAGGCAAAUCCGGAAAAUCAAG
rnacentral:rRNA from 1 species